UACGAAGGGUGGCAAGCGUUGUUCGGAAUUACUGGGCGUAAAGAGCGACGUAGGCAGUCUAUUUAAGUCAGGCGUGAAAGUCCCGGGCUCCGAACCUGGGAAUUGGACGUUUGGAUACUGGUAGGCUUGAGAAUUCAGAGAGGUGGAGUGGAAUUCCGUAGUGUAGCAGUGAAAUGCGUAGAUAUUAGGAGGAACAUCAGUGGCGAAGGCGGCUCCACUGGCUGAAUACUGAGCUAAGGCGACGAAAGCGUGGGGAGCAAACAGG
rnacentral:rRNA from 1 species